rnacentral:rRNA from 1 species
GAUGAACGCUGGCGGCGUGCCUAAUACAUGCAAGUCGAGCGAACGGACGAGAAGCUUGCUUCUCUGAUGUUAGCGGCGGACGGGUGAGUAACACGUGGAUAACCUACCUAUAAGACUGAGAUAACUUCGGGAAACCGGAGCUAAUACCGGAUAAUAUUUUGAACCGCAUGGUUCAAAAGUGAAAGACGGUCUUGCUGUCACUUAUAGAUGGAUCCGCGCUGCAUUAGCUAGUUGGUAAGGUAACGGCUUACCAAGGCAACGAUGCAUAGCCGACCUGAGAGGGUGAUUGGCCACACUGGAACUGAGACACGGUCCAGACUCCUACGGGAGGCAGCAGUAGGGAAUCUUCCGCAAUGGGCGAAAGCCUGACGGAGCAACGCCGCGUGAGUGAUGAAGGUCUUCGGAUCGUAAAACUCUGUUAUUAGGGAAGAACAUAUGUGUAAGUAACUGUGCACAUCUUGACGGUACCUAAUCAGAAAGCCACGGCUAACUACGUG